rnacentral:rRNA from 1 species
GUAUUGCGCGGACAAUUUAACGGGGCUCAAGUCCUGAGCCGAAGCUAUGGAUUCGUACGCAAGUACGAGUGGUAGAGGAGCGUCGAUGGCGCAGCGAAGCGGCGGGAUAACCCGACGUGGAGCGCCAUCGAGUGAGAAUGCAGGCAUGAGUAGCGAGAGAGGGGUGAGAAACCCCUCCGCCGAAAGCCCAAGGGUUCCUGGGGAAGGCUAAUCCUCCCAGGGUGAGUCGGGAGCUAAGGCGAGGCCGCGAGGCGUAGUCGAUGCACAACUGGUUGAUAUUCCAGUACUGCCGUGCCCGCGCCAGGUCCAAGAGUGACGACAUCGGGGCUGCCUUCGGGCGAGCCGGUCGAGUUGCUGGCGGAUAGCUGGAGGGGGACGCAGGAAGGUAGGUGAACCGGGGCGAUGGUUGUCCCCGGGUAAGCGUGUAGGGGGAUCCCGAUGAGAGUUGGGGUCAUUAACUCUGAGACGUGAUGCCGAGCCGAUUAAGGCGAAGUCACUGAUCCUAUGCUGCCAAGAAAAGCCCAACAGUGAGUUGGCACGGCACCCGUACCCCAAACCGACACAGGUGGGCGGGUAGAGAAUACUAAGGCGAUCGGGAGAACUAUGGUUAAGGAACUCGGCAAAUUACAUCCGUAACUUCGGGAGAAGGAUGACCCUAUUAGGGUGACGGGAUUUACUCCCCGAGCUCGAGAGGAUGGCACAAACCAGGGGGUAGCGACUGUUUACCAAAAACACAGCAGCGUGCGAAGCCGCAAGGCGCUGUAUACGCUGUGACGCCUGCCCAAUGCUGGAAGGUCACGGGGAACGGUUAGUCGAAAGGCGAAGCUGUGAACCUAAGCCCCAGUGAAUGGCGGCGGUAACUAUAACCGUCCUAAGGUAGCGAAAUUCCUUGUCAGGUAAGUUCUGACCUGCACGAAUGGCGUAACGACUUCCCCACUGUCUCAACCAUAGACCCGGCGAAAUUGAAGUACGAGUAAAGAUGCUCGUUAGCUGCGGAAGGACGGUAAGACCCCAUGGACCUUUACUAUAACUUGAUAUUGAGCUUUGUCCUGCAUUGUGUAGGAUAGGUGGGAGACUUGGAAGCAGUGGCGCCAGCCAUUGUGGAGUCAACGUUGAAAUACCACCCUGUGUAUGACGGGGCUCUAACCUGGGUCCAUUAUCUGGAUCAGGGACAGUGUCAGGCGGGUAGUUUGACUGGGGCGGUCGCCUCCUAAAAUGUAACGGAGGCGCCCAAAGGUUCCCUCAGGCUGGUUGGCAAUCAGCCGUCGAGUGCAAUGACACAAGGGAGCUUGACUGCGAGACUGACAGGUCAAGCAGGUGCGAAAGCAGGGCAUAGUGACCCGGCCAUCACGUGUGGAAGUGUGGUCGCUCAACGGAUAAAAGGUACCCUGGGGAUAACAGGCUAAUCCCCCCCG